AUGAAUUACAAAGUCGAUCGAUUGUGCUGGCAUGAACCGUGCAUGUGCACGUCGGUCGCAAAUUCAUCCACACCCCUUGUGCACUCUUAGACCACGGCGAGGUUCGUCGACUCCUUCGGUCGACUUGAGCGAUUGCUGCUGGUACUUUUUUCACACACUCUUGUAUGUUGAUUGGAUGUUGAAGUGCUCUUAAGCAUGGAUAACAAAAACGAA
rnacentral:misc_RNA from 1 species